GUAAGAGGUUAUGGAGAAUAAUGUAUCAUUUCCCAAAACUUAUUUGCAUAGCAUAUUUGUUGUUAAAAAAAAAAAAAGUAAUAGACUUAUCUUAUCUAAGAGGCUUCCUAGCUGGAGUGAAAGUUGCCUCUGGAUCAAGAUCUUCCUGUUUGGAAGAACCACCAAAGUCUGCAGCUUAGCUUGCCUUGGGUCUCACUCCCAGCCACUCCCUAAAUCUGGACUUGACAUCAGUUUCCAGCUUUUAGUUCUUGCCGAUCACCUGGUUUAUCAAAGCUUGCAGGGUCUGUGACUUGCCGCUUUGUUUUUCUAUUACAGCAUUUAUAGCUUCCUGGAGUCUGCUUUGAGCAACUGCUUUCCCUUGCCUUACCUUCCAAUACUCAAGCUCUUCAGCAACCUCACUGAGGCUGCCUGCCUGCAGAUGAAGAAACCAAGGCACAGACUCAUGUCCAGGACCCUAAAACCAGUGCAUGGUGGAGCCAGCAUUCAAACCCAGCACACGGGACGCCAGAGUCCAUGCUCCUAACCACUACAUUGUGAUGCCUUGAAACUCAUGGCAGAGAAGAGUUUGAGAGAAAGGUUUCAGAAAGACAAAAGUAGAAAUCCUGAAAGACUCUGAGCAUAAAGUUAAUGCUGCAGCAAUAGAUUUAGAAAAAUGAUGCAUGAUGAUCUAAGUGGAAGGUGUGACAUACCCCCAAAGAAAUGCUGAAUUCCCCAGGUAGGGUGGGGAUCCAAACAAAGGGAGACUUGUGCCUCAUUUCCUUAGUGGAACCGAAGGAGCAACAAGCCUCCCCUUGCUCUCUCUCUAUACCUCCACCAGUCACAGGCAGAGAAAGUAAAGGUGGGGCCUGCUGAGCACGUCAGAGCAGAAUGGGCAUGGCAUAGCUCCGUCAAGUCUCCCAGAGCUCCAGAGCAGCACAAAAAGGCAUCCAAAUAUUUCCUGUGCUUCCCUGUCCUCUCACCUCAAGAGGGAUGCAAAAGACAAGGCUGGAGUGACCUCAAGCAGUCUAGCAGUCUUGAAAGUUGUAUGAACUGGAAACACAAGUCCAGAGGAGAACAAGGCCAUCUUGAGGAUACCAGCAAGGAUAGAUCACUAUGCCCGGAAGCCAAUAGGAGCCAUCACAAAUAAACAAGAAUUUCUGAGGACAAAGGUCCCCCUCUUGAUAGACAUCAAAGUAUGAUGACUUAAGGCCCCAGAACUUAGAGGCAACUCAGGGAGAAAAUGGUGGGGGAAAAAAAACUCCGGAACAGACUUAAUAAAUAAUUGACCAAAGGUAGCCUGAGUUGAAUAUGAUUGAAAUUAAGUUCAGUUACAGAAUAAUGUUAUAUUUGUUUUUUGCACAGAGGAUUUUGCAGCCUGAGACUUUUACCUGCUUGGCUAUAAAGAAAUAAAACUUGUUUACCUUUGCAAACAG
rnacentral:lncRNA from 1 species